rnacentral:tRNA from 3 species
GGAGGAGUAAUCAAGCCUGGCCAAAGAUGCAGGACUUAAGAUCCUGUCUUUCAGGAGUUCGUGGGUUCAAAUCCCACCUCCUCCA